AGCCAAUAAGAAAACCCCAUAGCAUAAGUAAAUUGGCUCCUUUCGAGGAUGUUGCUGCACAAGCUCAAGUUAUCUGGAAAUUAAUGUCGAAGAAGCUGCUCAUAUAAGCAUGCAUCCCAAGGUGAUAUUCCUUUCACUGGUCAAUUACAAGUUUCUAGAUCGAGUGGCUUUUCAUGGGUCAAAAGACGAAGACGAUGCAUCCAUAAUAUCACACAGCAGAUCCAUAUCAAGAGGUCACCUUUAAAUUCUUUUGAACAUUCUGCUCAGUUACAUACACAAAAUCAUUGCGAUUCAAAACGAAAUGAAAAUGGGGAUGUAAUAUAUGGAGGUCGUGCUGAUUCUAAAGGCCACGAUUAUAUGAAGCUGCCA